rnacentral:rRNA from 1 species
AUUGAACGCUGGCGGCAGGCUUAACACAUGCAAGUCGAGCGGGGUGAUGGUGCUUGCACUAUCACUUAGCGGCGGACGGGUGAGUAAUGCUUAGGAAUCUGCCUAUUAGUGGGGGACAACAUCUCGGAAGGGAUGCUAAUACCGCAUACGUCCUACGGGAGAAAGCAGGGGAUCACUUGUGACCUUGCGCUAAUAGAUGAGCCUAAGUCGGAUUAGCUAGUUGGUGGGGUAAAGGCCUACCAAGGCGACGAUCUGUAGCGGGUCUGAGAGGAUGAGCCGCCAACCUGGGACUGGGACACGGCCCAGACUCCUCCGGGAGGCAGCAGUGGGGAGUAUUGGACAAUGGGGGGAACCCUGAUCCAGCCAUGCCGCGUGUGUGAAGAAGGCCUUAUGGUUGUAAAGCACUUUAAGCGAGGAGGAGGCUCUUUUGGUUAAUACCCAAGAUGAGUGGACGUUACUCGCAGAAUAAGCACCGGCUAACUCUGUGCCAGCCGCCGCCGUAA